UUCCACCUGGGGAGUACGGUCGCAAGACUGAAACUCAAAGGAAUUGACGGGGGCCCGCACAAGCGGAGGAACAUGUGGUUUAAUUCGAUGAUACGCGAGGAACCUUACCCGGGCUUGAAAGUUAGUGACCGUUUUAGAGAUAGAAUUUUGCAGCAAUGCGCACGAAACUAGGUGCUGCAUGGUUGUCGUCAGCUCGUGCCGUGAGGUGUCGGCUUAAGUGCCACAACGAGCGCAACCCUUACCGUCGGUUGCCAGCGGGUAAUGCCGGGGACUUCGAUGGGACUGCCACCGUAAGGUGUGAGGAAGGUGGGGAUGACGUCAAAUCAGCACGGCCCUUACGUCCGGGGCGACACACGUGU
rnacentral:rRNA from 1 species